CAGGCCCACUUACACAUACCACCUCACUUACACUUUUAUCCUCGCUUCAUGUAAAAAGAUUAACCCAGCAGUGGUAUGGAUGGAUGGAAUAGGCCUUAUAAGUUGGUUACACUCUUACUAAACUAGGAAGGUGGUACUAAGCAUACGCACAGCUCUUAUGGGCCACACAGGUAAAAUCUUAAUUGGGCUACGAUGUUACAGGGACUGAAGAAGUUAUCAAGGGCGCCUCCCCCCUUGACGGAUAUAUUGUCUCACUACUACAACAAAGAUUUUUGCGUGUGGUCGAAAACGAUUUUCCCGUGCAGAUGGUCAGCCUGCACGCGAUUUUCACGUGCGGGUGCCUCAUCCGCACGUGAAAAUUGGAUUUUCGCAUGCGGGCGCUUAAGCCGCCUGCACGAGAAAAUAAAAAAUCAAAACAAAAAGAAAGAAAAACAAAACCCUAACUCUAAUCUACCGCCGCCGCCGCUGUCCUCACCGAGGCCCGCCGCCGUCACCCCCGCGGUCACCGGCUACGGAUUCGUCACCCGCUCCCGUCGCCGGCCGAAGAAGCUCCUCCCCUCUGCUGGAUCUGCAAGGGGAGGGGCAUCAACUCACAUCGAUCGUCGACGCCGCUGCCGCACCUCCUGUCGACGGUCGCACUUCCACGUCUGCCACUGACGCCGCCGCACCUCCAGAUCCAGCGCGGGCCGCCUCCGUCCCACCGCAUCCCGCCACCGAGGGUCGCAGGCCGCCUCUGUCCAACCACCUCCCGCCGCCGAGGGGCGCGGACCGCCUCCCUCCCGCCGUUGCACACUGCCUCUCGCCGCUCUGCCGGAUCCGCCGGACCCCCAUGCAUCCCCUCCGCCGGAUCUGCAAGGGGAGGGAGGGGAGGGGCCACGCACCGCCACCGCUGCCCUUCUUCCCGCCCGCAGCCGUGGGAGAGGGAGGGUGUCGACCCCCGAUUUUGGAAAUCGGAAAUCUUCUGUGUUUAUGUCACGCCCGGAAAUUCACUAGUAAUUUCCGAACUAAUUUGUGCAUAAAAUCCUCGUCCAGGAAUCAGCCGAGGUACACAAACUGACAAUUUAAUAUACAGAAUCAUCAAUAAUAACGUUACAUACUUACAAAAGAAAAGAAAACAGCAGCGGAAUUAACGGUCUAGCGAUGGCUUCAGCUCCACUCCCACAGGCAGCUCAACUGGGGUAUAAGCCAAACGUCUUCUCCUUCUGGAUCCUUUAUCUUCAACUGAGGUUUGAUGAUUAUUGCAAGAAUGAGCAUAUGACAUACUCAACAAGCCACACAGCAAAUAUGCAAGUGCACAAGGAUACCAAAGGAUGGCAUAAUAUAGGCUCAUUUGCGAAAGCAGCAUUUAGCAAAGAGUUAAGAGUAGUAAAACAGUAGAGUAAUUAAUUAAAAAUUUUAAUCAACACUGAACAGCACACCCAUGCUGCACAGGCCCAACCAUCCUGAACAACCAUACCCGGCUGUACAGAUCUAACUCCAAACCAGGAGCUAAGCAAAUUAUUACCAAGUAUAACAUCCAUAAUUAUUGUGAGAGGUGUGAGACUAAUCACGAAAAACAUUGCUCAACCCGCCCAUAACCGCGGGCAUGGCUAUUCGAAUAGUUUUACUCUGGCCAGAGGUGUACCACUGUACCCACAAGACACAACCCCACAUCAUGUCACCAUGUGCCUCAAUACCACCACGGUACCUCGGAAAGGAGUUGUGACAAUACCCCUUGCACAACAUAAUCCAUUACAGCGCACCUUUCCUGGAUCAUAAUCACCCCCUCAAAAACCAGAGGCAUGGACUCCCCAGCGACCCCCGUGGACUUCUCGCCACUUCUCAGUCUGGCGCACUAUAAUGAAUCACGCUACACAAAAGAUAAAGCCGUUGCCCACGCUGGCUUGUGGUUGGCACGAUAAAUGUUUCACAACAGUAGCUCGCGAACCGGUCCUUAAUUGUCAUGAGCACGACUCUCAAAACCAUGUGCUCACAACCCACCAUUAUCAAGUUUUAGUUGGCAAGUAAUUAAUUAACCAAUCACGAUUGACCAUCGUGAACUAUCAUUAAGCCAUCCUUAAAUAAUAGUGAGUCAUAAGUUAUCCCAAUAGUGUGCUAAUGUUUCUAAGCAUGGCUAAGCAAUCAUAACUAAUAUCUAGCUGAACCAAUAUAUAAAGCCCAACUAGUCAAGUUAUAAUAACCCAAGGUAUCAAGGAAUAAAGUAAUCAAUGCAAAUUGGCCAUAACAAAGGAAUAAGUUCACACCACCCGGUGACAUUCGAAAAUAAAUGCACAGUUGAAAUAAAUAGAGAAUUUAAAUAUAGGAUCAACAUGCUCAAAGGAUUGUGUUUAGGAUCUGUGUGACUUGCCUUGCAAUAAUCGGUCUUCAAUUAAUCUUCUUGAUCACUUCCGACGCACUCACGAACCUUCGCAACGACGGAAACGACAAG
rnacentral:lncRNA from 1 species